GACGAACGCUGGCGGCGUGCUUAACACAUGCAAGUCGAACGAUGAAGAAGAGAAACGCGAACUUCGGUUCAAAUUUCACUUCGGAUUAGUGGCAGACGGGUGAGUAACGCGCGAGCAACCUACCUCUUACAAAGGGAUAGCCUCGGGAAACCGUGAUUAAUACCAUAUGACACAUUCAUAAGGCAUCUUAAGAAUGUUAAAGCUACGGCGGUAAGAGAUGGGCUCGCGUCCCAUUAGCUAGUUGGUGAGGUAACGGCCCACCAAGGCGACGAUGGGUAACCGGCCUGAGAGGGUGAACGGUCACAUUGGAACUGAGACACGGUCCAAACUCCUACGGGAGGCAGCAGUGGGGAAUAUUGCACAAUGGAGGGAACUCUGAUGCAGCGACGCCGCGUGAGCGAUGAAGGAAUUCGUUUCGUAAAGCUCUGUUCUAUGGGAAGAAAAGGACUGUACCAUAGGAGAAAGCCCCGGCUAAAUACGUG
rnacentral:rRNA from 1 species